CUUUUUUGAAGACAGUUUGGAA
rnacentral:snRNA from 1 species